ensembl:lncRNA
GACCCCAGGAUUGGAGGGUCCUAUGGAACACGGGGUGGGGGAUGGGUCCUGAGGACCAUGGGCUUGGGGGGGAGUCCUAAGGCCGAUGGGGCUGAUGGGUCCUGAGGAACACACGAUUUGGGGAGGUCCUGAGGAUGGCGGGGUCAGAGCCGGGAUCCCCCCAUCGCAGCCCUGGUCAUAUUCAUCUCUAGUUACUUCCGACCAUCUCAUUCUGAAUUCUCACCGUCAUUUUGAGACCGAGGCUGCAUCGGCCGGAGGCUCCCUGUCUGGGGGCCCAGGGGGCCUCUGGCUCCCGCGUGGAAGGCUUUUGUGUCGUCGUUUGGGACGCUGGGAACUUGAUGUUGGCUGGAUCUGUGCUUUAUCGUGAAAGGAGGAGGAAACUGCAGAGGACGACACAGCGCUGGAUGCUUACGGAACCGGAAAGACUUUUUCGUCCCACUUUCUUGGGGGAAAUGUUUACAGUUUCUGGAGACUAGUAGUAUGAACACUUGUCCACCCUUCACCUAGAAGUGCCUUUUUUUGGGCCAAUUGGUCACAUUAGCUUCAUCUUUAGUCACGUCAUCUGAGAGGCUGUGCCCAUCUCGAACUUCACCCGCAAGUGCCUGUGUUUCCUGAGAACAGAAACUGACACCCCUCAACCCGAAGGCCCUGGUCACGUCGGCUUAUGGCCCGUCCUUCCUCAGCUAUUCACCGUUAGCCCCCGAAGUGCUAUCGUGCCGUUCUUAAUCUGCUAGCUGUCCCGUCGUGGUUCACGUGUGACACCGGCUGACUCUGCCCUUCUGUGCUCCGAAACUGGCAGUGGGCCUCCUGCUUGCUUUAUUUCAUGUUAUUCUUUUUCAUGACUUUUUUUUUUUGGAAGACUUUUUUUUAUCAAAAUUUUAAUUUUGAGAUAAUCUUCAGGCAGUCGUGAGCAAUGAGACAGAGCGCUCCUGUGUACCUUGACCCUGUGUCUUCCUAUGAAGACAUCUUCAAAAACGGUAGGACCGCAGCACAACCGGGAUGAUGACAGCGAUAGGAUCAGGGUAGAGAACAUUCCAUGCCCCCAAGGGUCCCUCACGUGGCCCCGUACGUGCCCCCCCCCACUUCCCACCCAUCUAUGCCCGAACGUCGCUCCGGCGGCCACGCAUCUUCCUGUCUGCGGCCGUGUCGUUUUGAAGAGCGUUGCUUAAACGGGACUGUACAGUAUGUAGGCAUCUUGGGGCCGGUGUCUUUAAUCCUCCAGCGAUCCAUCCAGGUUUUCUCUGUAUCAGUCGUUCUUUCCGUUUCAUCGCCGAGUCCUGCUCCACGGUGUGGACGGACCCCAGCUCAUUCGCUCACUGAGGGCCGUCUCUGCUAAGUGUGUCUCCAGUCCUCGAGCGUGUAUGUCUCCCCAGUUGUUUAGACCUUUGGUUUCGUCCAUGAGUGUCGUGUAGAUUUCAGCAUCUAAGUCCUAUGUAAGCGUUGUUAGAGUCACACCCAAGUAAUUCAUUUUUUUUGAACAAUUACAAAUGGUACUGUUAUGUUUCAUUCUGGCCUCCGUUGGUUAACGAAUCUGACUAGGAACCACGAGGUUUCGGGUUCGAUCCCUGGCCUCGCUCAGUGGGUUCAGGAUCCGGCAUUGCCGUGAGCUGUGGUGUAGGUUGCAGACACGGCUCGGAUCCCAUGUUGCUGUGGCUCUGGUGUAGAAUGGCGGCUGCAGCUCCGAUUUAAACCCUAGCCUGGGAACCUCCAUAUGCCGCGGGUGUGGCCCUAGAAAAGACAAAAAUAAAUAAAUAAAUAAGUAAAUAAAAGGAUUUGAGAAGGCUGUGAAGCCCAUGAACAGCCAGUGCUUCGUUGGUCCAGGGGCUCCGUCCACACACAGACUCGUGGUGUAGCCCUGCUCCCACCAGCGAGUUAGAAGAGAGAGGCUGAGUGAGCAGCUGUCCUCUCGGGGACAAGGAAGGGUCCCCAAGGCCCCGCUGGACUUAGAUGCUUAGAUCCUGGGGUGGUAAACAGUCAGUCAGUGGAGAACUUUUUAAAAUUUCUCAGAGCCUUCCCGUCACCCCCUGCGAAGGGUCGGGGGUGUGUGUGGAGAGGUGAGAGGAGGUGAGAAAUUGUGACUUUUAUAGAUUUUGUGAAGUUUGGCUUUGAGAGUCCCAGCCCCUCUGCGCAGGUCCUUGGUGAGUCCCGAAGCAGGGCUCAGCCGUCACCAAGGAAACUGCGACGUGCGUCUACAGUGGGGCUUCCCAUUUGCCACGUGGGCUCAGUUUCCUAUUUACCUGAGGCCUUCGAGGGACAGGAGGGAUUGUCCCCUGGUCCCCAGCUCUCACAGGGCUUUUCCUGCACCUUGGGCUCUGGUUGGGAGCCGGGCACGUUAGGGAGUGAGAGGCUGGGGAACCCCUGUGUCGGCCCCCUGGGAAAGAGCUGCCUACUUGGCCCCAGCCCUGCUCGGUGACCUGGCCAAGGAGCGGGUCACGGAGGUGGUGUGAUGAUUUGGUGAUGUCACAUUGGGUGGCCGAGGGUGUCCAUGUGCCUGCAGUUCACGGGAGGGGGCAGGGGGUUGGGGGGUGCGCUAUGGAGUGUUGGAGCCCCAAGGCCAGCUCUUGCAGUCCUGGGGGGGUGCGUCCAGGCUGGGGUUCUUGUGGGGGGCCAUGGUUGGCCUUGGGCGUUGUGAGACCUUCAAGCUGAAUGUGACGUUGGGUGUGUGGGCUCUGGCUUCCGGGCGUUUGUAGCUUCAUCAGAUAAUCAGGAGUGCAUGAUCCCCCCAGACAUGAAGACUGCGUCGGUGUGACAGAGCCGGCUGGGGCUCGGGCUCCAGGGUUGGCUGUCAGGCACCUGCUGCCUGGCACCACCUCAUUCUUUUUUUUGCUUUUUAGGGCCACACUCAUGGCAUAUGGAUGUUCCCGGGCUAGGGCUCGAAUAGGAGCUACAGCUGCCAGCCUACACCACAGCCACAGCAACUCAGGGUCCGAGCUGCAUUUGCAACUUACAUCACAGCUCACAGCAACUUGGGAUCCCUGACCCAGUGAGCAAGGCCAGGGAUCGAACCCACCUACUAGUUAGGAUACUAACUAGUUGUACCAACUAGUUGUACUAACUAGUUGGGAUACUAACUAGUUGGGAUACUGGUUAGGUUCGUUUCUGCUGCGCCACAGUGGGAACGCUCUGGCACCUCUUCAUUCUUGUCCCGUCCGCCUUAGCAAGGGCGUCGGCCCCUUUUUCUUCCCACCUUAUCAGCCCAAGCCUCAAUUUCCCCAACUAUAAAAUGGGGCCGCUGUGACUACUGCUAGGUCUCCUUAUUCACAGGAGCAGCCCACAGAGCUGCCGUGAUGCUGCGGGGAAGGGGCUAUAGGAAGGGGCUUGAGCUUGAGCUCUGGGCAGACCGGAGGCUGUGGGUUAGGGCUUCCUUCCCUGGGAUAAAUCUUUUAUUGUGGAUAUUUUCAAACAUUUCCCAAAGCAGAAGGAACAUAACCCAACAGCCAGGUUUAACAUUUAUUACGAUUUUGCUUUCUGCCUGCCGCCACCUCCUCUCCCUGUGAUAACGGCCUCAAUGAUCUCGAAGGCAGGGUGUCUCUUCCCCUGCGCUUUGGUGUGUACACACUCGGAUUAACUUUGGAAAAUUUAUAGCACAUAUACCAUAAUCAUUUCCAAUUCUAAGGAAUUUGAGAAAGUUUCAGCUCAACAUCUCAGAAUUAAGGACCACAUGCAGAGCCAAGAUUAAAGAAGCUACGGUCUACCUUCAAAAUGCAUGCAGAUGGUGAUACUGCACGUGUCCGAAGGCGCAGACACUUUGCUUACCUAAUGGUGACAGUAUUUCUUUGGCAUCACCCCCCCAUUGGCAAUACUGUGUUUAAAUUUCCUUGACUGCUUCAAAAUGACUUUUCCAGCAGGUGUGUUAGAAUCAGAAUCGUAGUAAGGCCCCCUCCAGCCUCCCUUUUCUUUUUUUAAUCAAAAAAUUAAACAAAUUAAAGUAUAAUUAAUUUACAAUACGGUAUAGUUCCACAGCAAAAUGAUUCGUUUAUACAUGUAUUUUUUUUGGAUUAUUUUCCAUGGUAGGUUAUUAGAAGACAAUUGACUAUUAUUCCCUGUGUUAUAUAGUAAGUCCUUGUUGCUUGUCUGUUUUAUAUACAGUGGUAUAUAUCUGUUAAUUCCAUACUCUGAAUUUAUCCCCCCCUCCCUUUCCUCUUGGACAACCAUAAUUUUAUGGCAUCUCUCCCAAAUCCUUUCUCAUCUGUCCACUCGGCAGCUCCCUUUUCUCUGGCUGAAGACGCUGGGUGGAGGGGGAGCAGAGCGAUCAGGUACGGAGCAGCCUUCAGAGUCCAUGGGGUACGGUGUUAAGGGUGGGUCAGGGGUCAGGUGGGCCAGGUCCAGGGUCAUGCCCUUGACCUUGACAGAGGCCAGGCCAGGAGAGCAGGAAGGCUGUUCUCUCUUAUGGGGUGGGUCACCCUGGUUCCAAAGAGAAGGUCAGCUCCUCGUGCUGCCUCCCAGCGGGCAGGAGGUCUGUAAGUCCGCCUUGACCCUGCCUCUGGGUCUCCAUUCUCGGUGCUUCCACCUCCCUCCGCCCCUCAUUAUACAAAUCUGAGCAUUUGUCCCCAGUGUCUUCUGUUUACUUAAGGAUGCGCUCACUCAGCAUGGCCCUUGAGUGAAGUAAGCAGCCCGCCUGAGUGGAAGCUGCACAUUUGCUUCCCCUUGGGGAGUGGUUUUGGUUUCUGGGAGGUUUCGGUUGGUUUUCCCAUGCCCCGGUCCUUGGACUGGUUCCCGGAGGUCCUGCAGAGCCCCUCCUGCCCAGUAAGGAGGCUGUCUGGUGCCACAGCUGGGCACAGAGGGGACCCUUGGAUGGGCAUUGAGGGGUGGAGAUGGUUGGGACCAAGAGUGAGGUCAGUGCCUUUGUACUGGUCGCCUUCCUGUCCCAUUCCUGCCCAGCAGGGCUGGGGUGAUUCUCUCCCAAUUUUUUUAGGGAGGAAACACAAUUGAAUGUUGCAAACAGGUGAAGCAAAGUUGGGCGUCAGCCCUGUGUCCUUAGAGGGAAAACUCGGAGCCCUUUCCCGGCCCCACACACCACGUGGCUGUAACAGGACACGCGGCCCGUCAGGCUCUUUGAAAUCUGGGCUUAGGGACACUUGUGAGGAAGGUGGGGCAGCAGAGCCUGGGGGCCCCUGGGAGCGAGGGUGUGAGACUCCGCGGAGUACCUAGGCAGCCUGAAAGGAGGGCCACAGACGGGCUCUGCAUCUGGCCUUAGGCUAAGAAAAGAAGAGAAAACAGUGUGAGCAGAGGAAGCCUUCCUGGCAGAGAUUACCUGGAGGUGGCCCAGCCUCUUUGAUCUUUGUGCCCCGGGCUUGCUGCAGCUUGCUGCCAUCAGGACAGCAAAUUCCCUUUCCCCUUUUAUGUUGGGAACCCACACGGGGCCCUGAAAUUGGAAGCGCUUCUUCCCUCUUGCUUGUAGGAAGUCUUGCCCUGUCUGCAGGGGAGGACUUGCUGGGGCCUCGUUGAUGGGGGUGGGGGUGGGGAGCGGCCCCGGGGCUCAGGACCUACUGCCAGACUGAUGGGAGAGGUCCUAGGGGCCUGCUCACUGCCCACCUCCUGAAACAGGGCAUCCUUCCAGUUCGUAGCUAUCUCUGGAAAUUUCAUGUGUUUGAACGGUGGGGGCCACCCCAUAGUGCAUGCUUCGUGACGUUUUGGACAGAGUAAUUCUUUGAUGGAGGGUUUGCCAGGAAUGGCACAGCAUCCCUGCCUCCUUCCAGUAAACCUUAGUGACCACCCCCGUGGGGGCGACAAUGGAAAGAAAAAAGAUGCCUUAUAUUUCUUUUGGGGGGGGGUGCAUGCACAGCACAUGGAAGCUUUCGGGCCAGGGGUCGAAUCCGAACUAUAGCUGCCGGCAUACGCCACAGCCACAGCCACGCUGGAUCUGAGCCAAGUCUGCGACCUACACCACAGCUCAUGGUAAUGCUGGAUCCCUGACGCACUGAGUGAAGCCAGGGAUGGAACCCGCAUCCUCAUGGAUACCAGUCGGAUUCGUUUCUGCCCUGCCACAAUGAGAACUGAUGGCUUCAUGUUUCUAAAUGCCCCUAACAUCACCCUAGUGAUUCGUGGCAAGGGAAAUCGCUCAGGACUUAAAAAUGACCUAGGAUGAAAAAAAAAAUUACUGUUCAAGUUGUCAGGU